GCCCAGACUCCUACGGGAGGCAGCAGUGGGGAAUAUUGCACAAUGGGGGAAACCCUGAUGCAGCGACGCCGCGUGGGUGAAGAAGUCCUUCGUGACGUAAAGCCCUAUCAGCAGGGAAGAAAAUGACGGUACCUGACUAAGAAGCCCCGGCUAACUACGUGCCAGCAGCCGCGGUAAUACGUAGGGGGCUAGCGUUAUCCGGAAUUACUGGGCGUAAAGGGUGCGUAGGUGGUUUCUUAAGUCAGAGGUGAAAGGCUACGGCUCAACCGUAGUAAGCCUUUGAAACUGGGGAACUUGAGUGCAGGAGAGGAGAGUGGAAUUCCUGGUGUAGCGGUGAAAUGCGUAGAUAUUAGGAGGAACACCAGUUGCGAAGGCGGCUCUCUGGACUGUAACUGACACUGAGGCACGAAAGCGUGGGGAGCAAACAGGAUUAGAUACCCUGGUAGAA
rnacentral:rRNA from 1 species